CGGCGGGCCACUGCGCGGGAACGGGUUACGCGGCUGACGUCCGCCGCAGCAGCCGCUGGGUCCUGGAGGCAGAAGCCUCCCUGAGAAGCGCACAAUAGGCAGGGCGCGGUGGCUCACGCCUGUAAUCCCAGCACUUUGGGAGGCUCAGGCGGGCGGAUCACAAGCCUGCACUAGGUGACGCUGAAGCCACAGAAGACACUGCAGUGGGAAAACCAGCAUGAGCCGCUGCCCCCAAGGAACCUCGAAGCCCAGGCAGAGGACCAGCCAUCCCAGCCCGCAGGUAAAGUGUGUCACCUGUCAGGUGGGCUUGGGGUGAGUGGGUGGGGGAAGUGUGUGUGCAAAGGGGGUGUGAGUGUGUAUGUGUGUGAGCACAUGAGUGAUGGCUAGUGUGACUGCAUGUCAGGGAGUGUGAACAAGCGUGCGAGGGUUGUGUGCAAGUGCGUAUGCAUAUGAGAAUAUGUGUCUGUGGAUGAGUGCAUUUGAAAGUCUGUGUGUGUGUGGUCAUGAGGGUAAGUUAGUGACUGAAUGCGCAGGAUGUGAGUGUGCAUGGAACACUCAGUGUGUGUGUGGCAAGUGUGUAGGCGUGUGAGGACAGGCAGAAGUGUGUCAGUGUUGUGAUGGGAGUGUGAAUGAGUGUGCAAAAAGGUGAGUGAAUGCAUGGAAGUGUGUGUCAACUAUGAAGGCAUGUAGUGUGUCAGUGUGUGCAGUGCAAGCAUGUGUGGGAAUGAGUGCUUGUUGGUGUGUCCAUAUCCAACGGGUAUGUGUGAAAGCAUGUAAAAGUGUGUGUAGUGUGAUGGUGUGUGGAUGUAUCAGUGUGUAUAAAUGAGAGCAUGUAAAUGUGUAUGUAUGAGUGUUGAGUGUGCAUAUGUGAGGCUGUGCGUGUGAGUGUAACCAUGAGGGUGUGAACGUGCUUAAGUGUAUGUGCGUGUGACAGUGCAAGUGUAGGUGUGUGAUGCAUGUGUGGGUUUGCCAGUGUAUGAGUGUACAUGGUGUGGAUCUGAAUGUGCACAGUGUAAAGGGCAUGAGUGCAAGUGUGUGUGAGUGUAUGUGAAUGAGUGGUAGUGUGCAUGCAUGUGUGAGUGCACGCUCAGAAGCAUGGAUGGGUGCAAGCCUCCCCUACUAACUCCUCCUCCUUCCUGAGAUCAAAAAAGUAUGUGUUUUCUGUGUUUCAAAAAUGUUUUAAAAUUAUGUACUGUAUUUAAUAGCUCUUAUGACUACAGUGUUUUUCUCUCUGCUUAAAGUGCAGCAGGGGCUGGGCGCAGUGGCUCACACCUGUAAUCCCAGCACUUUGGGAGGCCAAGGCAAGUGGAUCAGUUGAGAUCAGGAGUUCAAGACCAGCCUGGACAACAUGGUGAAACCCCAUCUCUACUAAAAAUACAAAAAUUAGCCGGGCAUGGUAGCGGGUGCCUGUGAUCCCAGCUACUGGGGAGGCUGAGGUGGGAGAAUCGCUUGAACUCGGGAGGCCGAGGUUGCAGUGAACCGAGAUUGCACCACUGCACUCCAGCCUGGGCGACAGAGCGAGACUCUAUGCAAAAAACCCCAAAAAAUCCAAUGUAGCUAAAAGCAGUUUGAUGAUAACAGUGACACUGAAAUGAGAAUUGUGUCAGAAAAACCACAAACAAUAAUGAAAUGGCUCCUAUAUAACCCAUCCCCAAAAACCCACGUAAAGAAGAAAACAGGGCUGGGUGUAGUGGUUCAUGCCUAUAAUUCCAGCACUUUGGGAGGCCCAGAAGGGAGGAUUGCUUGAGCCUGGGAAAUCGAGGCCACAGUGAGCUGUAUUUGCACCACUGUACUUCAGCCUGAGAGUCAGAGUGAAACCUUGUCUCAAAAACAGAAAGACGAAAAGGGUACCUGAGGUAUUAACUCUGAUCAUCAGUGAGUGGAAAGAUUCUGGUAUUCUGGUGCUUUCCAUUUUC
rnacentral:lncRNA from 10 species